UACAGGGGGUGCAAGCGUUGUUCGGAAUCACUGGGCGUAAAGCGCACGUAGGCGGAUUUUUAAGUCAGGGGUGAAAUCCCGAGGCUUAACCUCGGAACUGCCUUUGAUACUGGAGAUCUUGAGUCCGGAAGAGGUAAGUGGAACUGCGAGUGUAGAGGUGAAAUUCGUAGAUAUUCGCAAGAACACCAGUGGCGAAGGCGGCUUACUGGUCCGGAACUGACGCUGAGGUGCGAAAGCGUGGGGAGCAAACAGG
rnacentral:rRNA from 1 species